AUGUAAUGGUGUGGACACUUCCUCAAUAACUCUUUAUAUCUCUUCCAAGCCUCAUAUAAAGAUUUCCCUUCUUGCUGCAUAAAUGAUGUAAUCUCUCCUCUUAAUUU